UACGGAGGGUGCAAGCGUUAUCCGGAUUCACUGGGUUUAAAGGGUGCGUAGGCGGACAGGUAAGUCAGUGGUGAAAUCUCCGAGCUUAACUCGGAAACUGCCUUUGAUACUCUCUGUCUUGAAUAUGGUGGAGGUAAGCGGAAUAUGUCAUGUAGCGGUGAAAUGCUUAGAGAUGACAUAGAACACCUAUUGCGAAGGCAGCUUACUACGCCUAUAUUGACGCUGAGGCACGAAAAGCGUGGGGGAUCAAACAGG
rnacentral:rRNA from 1 species